GGGGCAGUAGCUCAGCUGGGAGAGCGCUACAUUCGCAUUGUAGAGGUCGAGGGUUCGACUCCCUUCUGCUCCA
rnacentral:tRNA from 1 species